AUUAGCUAGUUGGUAGGGUAACGGCCUACCAAGGCGACGAUGCGUAGCCGACCUGAGAGGGUGAUCGGCCACAUUGGGACUGAGACACGGCCCAGACUCCUACGGGAGGCAGCAGUGGGGAAUAUUGCACAAUGGGGGAAACCCUGAUGCAGCAAUGCCGCGUGAGUGAUGACGGCCUUCGGGUUGUAAAGCUCUGUCUUCGGGGACGAUAAUGACGGUACCCGAGGAGGAAGCCACGGCUAACUACGUGCCAGCAGCCGCGGUAAUACGUAGGUGGCAAGCGUUGUCCGGAUUUAUUGGGCGUAAAGCGAGUGCAGGCGGUUCAAUAAGUCUGAUGUGAAAGCCUUCGGCUCAACCGGAGAAUUGCAUCAGAAACUGUUGAACUUGAGUGCAGAAGAGGAGAGUGGAACUCCAUGUGUAGCGGUGAAAUGCGUAGA
rnacentral:rRNA from 1 species